rnacentral:rRNA from 1 species
AUCAACGCUGGCGGCGUGCCUCAGACAUGCAAGUCGAACGAUUAAAGCUCUCUUCGGAGAGUGCAUAAAGUGGCGCACGGGUGAGUAACACGUAAGUAAUCUGCCCUCGAGUGGGGAAUAACGUCCGGAAACGGACGCUAAUACCGCAUAAUGCAGCGGCACCGCAAGGUGACAGUUGUUAAAGAAGUAAUUCGCUUGAGGAGGAGCUUGCGGCAGAUUAGCUUGUUGGUAAGGUAACGGCUUACCAAGGCUACGAUCUGUAACCGGUCUAAGAGGACGGUCGGUCACACUGACACUGAAUAACGGGUCAGACUCCUACGGGAGGCAGCAGUCGGGAAUUUUGGGCAAUGGGGGAAACCCUGACCCAGCAACGCCGCGUGAAGGAUGAAGUAUUUCGGUAUGUAAACUUCGAAAGAAUAGGAAGAAUAAAUGACGGUACUAUUUAUAAGGUCCGGCUAACUACGU